rnacentral:rRNA from 1 species
UGGGGAAUAUUGCACAAUGGGCGCAAGCCUGAUGCAGCCAUGCCGCGUGUAUGAAGAAGGCCUUCGGGUUGUAAAGCACUUUCAGCGGGGAGGAAGGCGUUAAGGUUAAUAACCUUGGCGAUUGACGUUACCCGCAGAAGAAGCACCGGCUAACUCCGUGCCAGCAGCCGCGGCAAUACGGAGGGUGCAAGCGUUAAUCGGAAUUACUGGGCGUAAAGCGCACGCAGGCGGUCUGUCAAGUCGGAUGUGAAAUCCCCGGGCUCAACCUGGGAACUGCAUUCGAAACUGGCAGGCUAGAGUCUUGUAGAGGGGGGUAGAAUUCCAGGUGUAGCGGUGAAAUGCGUAGAGAUCUGGAGGAAUACCGGUGGCGAAGGCGGCCCCCUGGACAAAGACUGACGCUCAGGUGCGAAAGCGUGGGGAGCAAACAGG